GGGGCAGUGGCUUAGUGGUAGAGUGCCUGCCUUGCGCACAUGUGAGGCCUGGGUUCAAUCCUCAGCCCCA
rnacentral:tRNA from 1 species